GACGAACGCUGGCGGCGUGCUUAACACAUGCAAGUCGAACGGUGAAGCGCCUUUUUUUUUGGUGGGUGUGGAUGAGUGGCGAACGGGUGAGUAACACGUGAGUAACCUGCCCCCUUCUUUUGGAUAACCGCAUGAAAGUGUGGCUAAUACGGGAUAUUCUGGGUCUGUCGCAUGAUGGGUCUGGGAAAGAUAUUGUUUCGGUGGGGGAUGGGCUCGCGGCCUAUCAGCUUGUUGGUGGGGUGAUGGCCUACCAAGGCGGUGACGGGUAGCCGGCCUGAGAGGGUGGACGAUCACACUGGAACUGAGACACGGCCCAGACUCCUACGGGAGGCAGCAGUGAGGAAUAUUGCACGAUGGGCGGAAGCCUGAUGCAGCGACGCCGCGUGAGGGAUGGAGGCCUUCGGGUUGUAAACCUCUUUCGCCAGUGAAGCAAGCCUGCCUCGUUUGUGGGUGGGUUGACGGUAGCUGGAGAAGAAGCGCCGGCUAACUACGUG
rnacentral:rRNA from 1 species